rnacentral:rRNA from 1 species
UACGGGGGGUGCGAGCGUUAAUCGGAAUUACUGGGCGUAAAGGGCACGCAGGCGGACUGUUAAGUCAGGUGUGAAAUCCCCGGGCUUAACCUGGGAAUUGCAUUUGAUACUGGUAGUCUAGAGUAUUGUAGAGGGGGGUAGAAUUCCACGUGUAGCGGUGAAAUGCGUAGAGAUGUGGAGGAAUACCGAAGGCGAAGGCAGCCCCCUGGGAAAGUACUGACGCUCAUGUGCGAAAGCGUGGGGAGCAAACAGG